AUACGCUGUCUGGCUCGGCGGGAAUGCCAGCAUUCGCUUUAACUUCAGGUUUCUAACAGUGGUUGCCACGGAGACACGUGGCUCCGGCACAGGCUCCUCGCUCGGCCCACCUUGUCCACGCCGAACAUUGACCCGACCACACCAGGCCCCUCGCCAGCACGCCGUGUCUCUGUCACCGCUGUGUAAGGUCCUGCCUCCACCCACCAUACCCUCCCCUGGAACAAUUCCCCCUCAGGCCAGCGUCCCAACCUUUAUCCACUCGCAACCAUUACAUUAUCGUCCAACCACUGCAUUGUUGGUGAGUUGGGGGCACCAACCCUGGCAGUCGCUGCAUUGUUGGUGAGUUGGGGGCACCAACCCUGGCAGUCGCUGCAUUGUUGGUGAGUUGGGGGCACCAACCCUGGCAGUCGCUGCAUUGUUGGAGAACUGCUGCAGCAGCGAAUUGCAGACUGAUCAGUGACGGGACAUUUUGUUCUUUUCAGGAACGCGGGCAACCAAGGGAGCAGCAGAAACACUCCAGCGGUGAGUGAGAGCUGACUGACCGUGCGUUCACUGCCCUCACUGUGAAUGGUCGGUGAGGCUGGGGAGCAAAGAUCCUAUAGCGAAGCUUACUAUAGGGUCUUUGCUGGGGGACGCACAUACCGCCCCGCCUUCCCGCCAAACAGUACGGGGCUCCUCAGUACUGCCCCUCCCAGGGUGAGCCGCCUUUCCCAGAUGCCCAGUGUGCCGUUCCGUGACACGGAGAGGCGCGGACUGUACAGGUUUCUCCUGCACACUCUACACUUCCCCGCCCUUGUCUUCCGUCCCUGGGGUCCGUGUUACCACCUGACGGCGGGAGUGGUCCUCCUCUUUACAUCGGGGACCUGGGGUGGAGAAUGUUGCACAUGGCUGUGGCGUGUACAGAUACUUGAGCCGGUUCACGGACUCACCAUGUUUCAUUUGUACAUGCAGUGUGAGAGGUUGCAGUCCCUGUUCGACUAUCUGUAGGGGCUGUUACUCAAGGUUUGGCUACACUUUAGCCCCACACUCCUGAUAUAGGGCACCCGGUACAGAGGGAGGCGGGAUCUCCCUAUCCAUCUGCUCCUGGGCCUGGCCAAGAUGGCCAUUCGCGGGUCCAGGCAGCGGGUAGUCAACGGCCGCACCGGGGUUGACUGCCUGCCCCCUUUCCGGGCCUACGUCCCCGGAGAGGGAACACGGGGUGUCCACGGGGACUUUGGACGCCUUCCUGAGGUCGAGUGUUUUGUUGAUAAAGUUGGCAAUAUAUUAAUUUGAUGAUCGUUUGUUUGAUUGUAGACUGUCAACAUAGGCAGUCUUUGAUACUGUAUGUUUAUUUUUGAUUUUUGAAUAAAUGUAUAUGUAUAAUAAAUAAAUUUAAAAAAAGGGGGUGCGGCGCUGCCUCAGUACUGCCCCUCCCACAGUGCGGCUCUACACCCCACACUGGUGUGUUUGGCCUGAGUAAGUCUAAUGUCUCCGUCUUGUGCUUGCAGCUGGCUCGGACCGUUCUGACCACGGACAGGUACCGCUGUGAUUUCCGACUGGAGGCAACGUCGGUAGCGCCGGAAUCUCAGACCCGCCGGGAGAUCGUCGAGCGGCUGCGGGGCGGAGACUACGCGGUAGCGGGGAUGACCUUGGCCGCUGACCCCGCCACCAUCGCCGUCUUUCACCUCGAGCCCGGCGUGUGUCCGAGCGACUCCUGGCCGAGCGAAGAAGGGACGUAUUGGUGGCCAUCUACGUUGCCCAAGAGGACGGCUCGGCUAAAGUGUCUGGCCCACCCAAGCGCGCAUUCCUACAGGAACUGGUGAGGAGUUUCACAGCGGCCGGGACCCUGUGAGCAGACGGCGGAUCCGUUUUCACGGCGGUAAUACUGUAAAGGCCAAUUGAUUCAAGAACCAACAAGAGGCAAUUGUAGACCUCUACCCAAUAGCCGAUAUAGACACGUGGAACUGCAGAUGUGGAAUGUUGAGCAAAACAAAGUGCUGGAGGAACUCAGCGGGCCACGUACAGGGAAUGGUCGGCAAUGUUUUUGGUCGGGCUGAAGAAGGGUCCCGAUCCAAGCCGUCAGCUGUCGAUUCGCUCCACAGAAGCUGCCCGACCCGCUGUCCCUCGAGUGCGGUGUGCAAUGGCUGAUAGACUCCCUGGUCCAGGUGACCGCGUCCUCUGAUCCAACUGAGUUAGUGGACCAGAUAGACACAACGUGCUGGAAUAACUCAGCGGGCCAGGUAGCACCUCUGGAGAAAAGAGUCAAAAGUGUUUUAGACAAUAGACAGUAGGUGCAGGAGUAGGCCAUUCGGCCCUUCGAGCCAGCACCGCCAUUGAAGGUGAUCAUGGCUGAUCAUCCGCAAUCAGUACCCCGUUCCUGCCUUCUCCCCAUAUCCCCUGACUCGGCUAUCUUUAGGAGCCAUGUCUAGCUCUAUCUUGAAAGCAUCCAGAGAAACGGCCCCCACCGCCCUCUGAGGCAGAGAAUUCCUGACUCACAACUCUCUGUGAGAAAAAGUGUUUCCUCAUCCCCGUUCUAAAUGGCCCCUGGUUCUGGACUCCCCCAACAUCGGGAACACGUUUCCUGCCCCUAGUGUGUCCAAACCCAUACGAAUCCUAUCAUCAAUAAGAUGUCCUCUCAUCCUUCUAAACUCCAGAAGCCCAAGCCCAGUCGCUCCAUUCUCUCGGCAUAUGUCCCGAUAGAACAAUUAAUUUCUUACUAGUAGCGACAGAAUAUGUAAACAUAGUACACUGUAAACAAUAUAAGA